AUUGAACGCUGGCGGCAGGCCUAACACAUGCAAGUCGAGCGUGCGGCGGACGUGUGUGAUAUGUCUGGGAAUCUGCCUGUUGGAGGGGGAAAACCUUUGGAAACGGUCGCUAAUACCGCAUACCAUCAGUUGCGCCCAGAUGGGAUUGGCUUGGAGGUGGGGAAACGGCUCACCUAGGCGAAGUCCCCUAGCUGGUCCGAGAGGAUGACCAGCAACACUGGAACUGGGACACGGUCCAGACUCCGACGGGAGGCAGCAGUGGGGAAUAUUGGACAAUGGGCGCAAGCCUGAUGCAGCAAUGCCGCGGGGAUGAGAAGGGCCUUCGGGUUGUAAAGUACUUUCAGCGGGGAGGCGUUACCCGCAGAAGAAGCACCGGCUAACUCCGUGCCAGCAGCCGCGGUAAUUC
rnacentral:rRNA from 1 species